rnacentral:rRNA from 1 species
GACGAACGCUGGCGGCAGGCUUAAUACAUGCAAGUCGAGGGGUAACAGGGGACUUCGGUCCUGCUGACGACCGGCAGACGGGUGAGUAACGCGUAUGCAAUCUGCCCUUUGGAGGGGGAUAGCCCAGAGAAAUUUGGAUUAAUACCGCAUAAAAUCUUAACACUGCAUAGUGUAAAGAUAAAAGGAUUUAUCGCCAAAGGAUGAGCAUGCGUUCCAUUAGGUAGUUGGUAAGGUAACGGCUUACCAAGCCUGCGAUGGAUAGCUGGUCUGAGAGGAUGAUCAGCCACACGGGCACUGAGACACGGGCCCGACUCCUACGGGAGGCAGCAGUAGGGAAUAUUGGUCAAUGGGGGCAACCCUGAACCAGCCAUGCCGCGUGAAGGAAGAAGGUUCUCUGAAUUGUAAACUUCUUUUAUUAAGGGAUAACUUGUGGCUAUACGCCACAUUGAAGGUACUUAAUGAAUAAGCACCGGCUAACUACG